CGAGGAAUCUUGGGCAAUGGGCGAAAGCCUGACCCAGCGACGCCGCGUGGAGGAUGAAGGCCCUAGGGUCGUAAACUCCCUUUGUCGGGGAAGAAGAUCUGACGGUACCCGACGAAUAAGCCACGGCUAACUACGUG
rnacentral:rRNA from 1 species